AUGCACGCUGGCGGCGUGCCUAAUCCCUGCCAGUCGAGCGAACAGACGAGGAGCUUGCUCCCCUGACGUUAGCGGCGGACGGGUGAGUAACACGUGGAUAACCUACCUAUAAGACUGGGAUAACUUCGGGAAACCGGAGCUAAUACCGGAUAAUAUAUUGAACCGCAUGGUUCAAUAGUGAAAGACGGUUUUGCUGUCACUUAUAGAUGGAUCCGCGCCGCAUUAGCUAGUUGGUAAGGUAACGGCUUACCAAGGCAACGAUGCGUAGCCGACCUGAGAGGGUGAUCGGCCACACUGGAACUGAGACACGGUCCAGACUCCUACGGGAGGCAGCAGUAGGGAAUCUUCCGCAAUGGGCGAAAGCCUGACGGAGCAACGCCGCGUGAGUGAUGAAGGUCUUCGGAUCGUAAAACUCUGUUAUUAGGGAAGAACAAAUGUGUAAGUAACUAUGCACGUCUGGACGGUACCUAAGCAGAAAGCCACGGCUAACUACGG
rnacentral:rRNA from 1 species